UGGUGGAGCGAUUUGUCUGGCUAAUUCCGAUAACGAACGAGACUCUGGCCUAUUAAAUAGUUCGCCGAUUCCGAUCUGUCGGCGUUAACUUCUUAGAGGGACAAGUGGCUUUUAGCCACGCGAGAUUGAGCAAUAACA
rnacentral:rRNA from 1 species